rnacentral:tRNA from 1 species
AGUAUUGCGCCGGAAUUGAACGGAUAGCUCUGAUGCUGCUAAUUAUGAAAUGACUAAAAUUUCCAAUACUU